rnacentral:rRNA from 1 species
CCAACAGGGAUUGCCUCAGUAACGGCGAGUGAAGCGGCAACAGCUCAAAUUUGAAAUCUGGCCCCAGGCCCGAGUUGUAAUUUGCAGAGGAUGCUUCUGGCAAGGUGCCGUCCAAGUCCCCUGGAACGGGGCGCCGAAGAGGGUGAGAGCCCCGUCCGGUCGGCCGCCAAGCCUGUGUGAAGCUCCUUCGACGAGUCGAGUAGUUUGGGAAUGCUGCUCUAAACGGGAGGUAGACCCCUUCUAAAGCUAAAUACCGGCCAGAGACCGAUAGCGCACAAGUAGAGUGAUCGAAAGAUGAAAAGCACUUUGAAAAGAGGGUUAAAAAGUACGUGAAAUUGUUGAAAGGGAAGCGCUUGUGACCAGACGUGUGCCGGGGUGCUCAGCGGGCGUUCUCGCCCGUGCACUCGCCCCGGCACAGGCCAGCGUCGGUUCGCGCGGGGGGACAAAGGCGCCGGGAACGUAGCUCCUCCGGGAGUGUUAUAGCCCGGCGUGCCAUGCCCCCGCGCGGACCGAGGUUCGCGCUCCGCAAGGACGCUGGCGUAAUGGUCUCCAGCGGCCCGUCUUGAAACACGGACCAAGGAGUCGAGGUUUUGCGCGAGUGUUUGGGUGUCAAACCCGCACGCGUAAUGAAAGUGAACGCAGGUGGGAGCUUCGGCGCACCACCGACCGAUCCUGAUGUUCUCGGAUGGAUUUGAGUAGGAGCGUAGGGCCUCGGACCCGAAAGAUGGUGAACUAUACGUGGAUAGGGUGAAGCCAGAGGAAACUCUGGUGGAGGCUCGCAGCGGUUCUGACGUGCAAAUCGAUCGUCAAAUCUGCGUAUGGGGGCGAAAGACUAAUCGAACCAU